ensembl:snoRNA
CCCAAGACUAGAGUCACAUACUGACAGCUCUUGUCCUGGUGUGCUAGAGUCUUCGGAGAGAAUCUCUUGGUUUUGAUUCACGGGCGAGGGCAAUCAGUGCCCCCAUGAGUGCCCAGAUUAGAAAUAUGC